rnacentral:tRNA from 1 species
UGGAUAGCUCAGUUGGUUAGAGCAUGGUGCUGAUAACAUCAAGGUUGAGGGUUCGAUCCCCAUCUGGGACAG